UAGUAACUAGUAUAAUUAAUACAUGGGAUUUCGGCUCUCAAGAUGUUUGAAAACGUUUCUAA
rnacentral:tRNA from 1 species